rnacentral:lncRNA from 1 species
AAAAGAGGAGAAGAGGAAGGGAAAAGUUUAGGAGAGAGGAAAAAGGAAGAGGAAAAAGGAAGAGGAAGGAGAGGAAGAGGUUCAGGAAGAAAAGGGGGGGGAGGAAGAGAGGAGGAAGGAGAGGAGGAGGAAGGGAGAAGUUUAGGAGGAAAAGUGAGGAGGAAGGAGAGGAAAGAGAGGUGGAAAAGAAGGGAAGGAGGAAGAGGAAGUUUAGGAGGAAAGGGAAGGAAGGAGGGGAGGAAAGGAGAUGAAGUAGAGGAAAGAGAGGAGGAAAAGGAGAGAGGAAGAGGAAGCAGGAAAAGAUGAAGAAUAGGAAGAGGAAGGAAAGAAAACAAGGAAGGAAAAAGAAGAGAUUCAGGAGGAAGAAAAGGAGAAGAGCAGAAGAAAAGAGAGGAGGAAAAGAAGGGAUGAAGGGCAGGAAGGAAGGAAGGAAGAGAGGAAGUUUAGGAAGAGCAGGAGAAGGAAGAGAAAAUGGAGAAAGAAGAGGCAGGAGAUGAGAAAUGAGGAAAGGAAGGAAGGUAAAGCAGAGGAAAAAGAGGAGAAAAAGGAGAGAGGAAGAGGAAGAUGAAGAAGAGGAAGGAAAGGAAAAAAGGAAAGAAGAGGAAAAUGUUCAGGAAGAAAAAGAGGAAAAAAGAUGACAAAGGAGAGGAAGGAGAGUGGGACAAGGAGGGAGGAAGAGGAGGAUGAAGAAGAGGAAGGAGAGCAAGAAAAGGAAGAAAGAGGAGGAAAUUCAGGAGGAAAGAGAGGAGGAAAGAUGAUGAAGGAGAGGGAAGAGAGGAGAACAAGGAGGGAGGAAGAGGAGGAAGUUCAGGAGGAAGGAGGGUAAGAAAGACGACCAAGCAAGGCAAGGAGAGCGGACCAAGGAGAGAGGAAGAGGAGGAUGAAGAAGAGGAAGGAAAAGAAGAAAAUGGAAGGAAGAGGAGGAAGUUCAGCAGGAAGGAGGGGAGAAAAGACGACCAAGCAAGGCAAGGAGAGCGGGAUAAGGAGAGAGGAAGAGGAGGCGGGACGGGAGGAAGGAGAGGAAGAAAAGGAAGGAAGAGGAGGAAGUUCAGGAGGAAGGAAGGAAAGAUGAUGAAGCAGAGGAAGGAGAGCGGGAUGAGAGGAAGAAGAGGAUGAAGAAGAGGAAAGAAAAGAAGAAAAGGGAAGGAAAAGGAGGAAGUUCAGCAGGAAGGAGGGUAAGAAAGACGACCAAGCAAGGCAAGGAGAGCGGACCAAGGCGAGAGGAAGAGGAGGCGGGACGGGAGG